CAGACUCACUACGUGAUAUCCGAAGGUCAGCCUGAUCUGGAUGCCAAACAAAACUCGGCGCUCUCCGGCGAGGUACAGGAGCCGUUAAACAAGAGGACAUCAUGUAAAUUGCUGGCAUAUGGCAGAACUGCUUCCUGUGUGUUUGUUUCAGCAGCCCAGGUGAAAGGGAAGGUACCGGCUCCAUAGAGAGCAGACUGCCCGCAGA